AAGUCAUUUCUUUUUUCACUCUUAUUGUAUUGAUUGAUUGACUAGCUUUUGUGCUCCCUGAAGUGCAGAACCACAUUUAAGAAUUGAAAGAAAGAUUUGCAUGCUGAAAGGUUGGUGAUCUGGUGUUGGUCACUUGGAAUCAAAUGAAAAUUCUAGCCGCUGGCAUAGUAGUGACACAGUGGUGCUAGAGUUCAACCAUUACACACCUGGCUUAAGAUGGAGACAGAAUAGUAUCAGUGGGUAAGAUCAUAGGGCGGAAGAAAUUGAGGCUGAUGAAUUUUUAUGGGGGAAUAAGAUCACACUUUCUUAGCUAGCAAGGCUUCAACUCUGGCCAUUUUGGCAGCUACUGCUCCGUUUUUUGGUAAGCCAUGUUUUUUGAAUUGGAAUCAUGUUUAUUGUUCUUUCUUUGAGGUGUGUGAACUGGUUUUUUUUUUUUUUUUGGUCAAGUAUAGCCUACUUUGAAAAACGUUAAAACUUAGGGGAAAUAAGUUUUGGCUGAAAGAGACAACGGCUAGUCCUUUGUUGGCUACAUCUUGUUAGUUAAUUUUUUUGUAGGGAUGUAACCCUUAGAUCUAUUUGAACGUCAACUCAGCUAAUCUACUUGCACCUCAACUCAGCUAUGCCAUGUAUUUAAUGUGUUUUAAGGGAUAGAGCUGACAGUGGUCGAAUUCUGAAUAGCCUAACCAUACUUAUUUGCCUUGUCCUAUACUUAUUAAACUAUUUUAUACUUUUCAGUUCAAACUAAAUAAAUUUUCCUGUAUCUGAAUUAAGUGUUUGGGUAAUGUAUACUACAAGCAUUUUUCAUUUUCAUUUAGUUCGGUGGCUGUUCUGAGUCUGCACUUCGUAGUCAACUAUUUUUCUUUUCUUGUCUUUGGCGCUGUAACUUUUAGGCUCGAGUGUUUAGGAAUUGAAUAAGUGUUAGACUUUGAAUUGAAAUUAGUAGCUUGAAGAUAUACUCCUUGGACUCUCUCCUCAGGUAUGUAUACUCCUUGAAAUUCUCACUUAUGCGGUUUGUAUACAAAAAGAUAAGUUAGCACUAUUUUAAACAUGAGUUAGUAGCUAGGCAAUACUAAAUUUUCAACUUUAAGUCAAAUGUAUGUAUAUGCUGUCAGACAACCCUUGAAUACAACCAAUUUUUAGAGUAAAACUAAAAGCAAAACUUAAAAUCGAGGUUAAAAGCGAACUCUGUUGUUAGUUGCGAACAGAUUCAUAUUGCAUAGUUGCGAACUCUGUUGUUAAAAGCGGCCGCUAUUGUGGCGUGGCGUGGAAAAAUCGAGGUCACUGCUACUAGCCGUGUCGGAGCGGCGCAGACGAGUGAUGCGGUGGGAGCUGUUGGGGUUGCAGGCGCUAUUGCAGAUCGGUUCGGUGUUGAUUUCUUUUCAUUGCUUUCUAUAAUUUUUGGGAUUGGGGCAGGCGAUUUUUGAGACUAUAUCAACAAUUCACAUCUUGGGACAUCCUGAACGGCCUCUAGCGAUAAGAUAUGUAUCUCUUAAUUAUUUUACACACUCUGUCAUAUUUCAUAGAAUCUCCCCUUAUCUAUCACGACUACGCCAAAUAUAAAGUGAUUAAACAUUCAAUGUUUGCCAAGAUGCAAAAAGCAUUCGGUUUAGAGAAAGUCCUAAAGAAGGGGGGUGGGAUCUGGAAAAAUAUUUAUGGGACUGAUGAAAAGAAGGUCGCCGAUGAUAUUUUGGUAGAACGUACUAGUUAUACUGCAAACAGUACGGUGGGAAUGAUGGCAUGUCGACUUGCUCUAGGAAAUUCAACGUCUUUUUCCCAGAAAGUUGUGCUCAAGAUGGCUUUGACCUUAUACUGUUAGUCAAGUCUUUCUUGAUGGAGCACUUGAAGCUUCUAAAGAAGGUGGCACCACUUUCAUAGUUAAGGGACAACAUGCAAAACAUUACGAGGAAGGGUUGCUCCAAGUGAGAUAUGUCGUUCGCCUCAGUGAUUGAAAGCUUUCUCAGGGAAGUCACUUUUACUCUCACUUAUUUACUUUUGUGCCUGGUUGAAUAUUUUACAUUGAAGACCAUGCUCUGAACUAGUGUGGGGUAUGUCGUUCGCCUCAGUGAUUGAAUUUUCUGGCUUGUUUUAAUUAAGUUUUUCUUAAAAAUAGAGAUUAUGUCUUCGAAGGGACCCUUGAAAAUUUAUUUGACAGACUUGUUCAAUGUUGAUAAUGUGCUAUGUUGACUAUCUUUUUGUGAACUAACUUCUAAAUGUGAGAUUUGAGCCUUUAUAAUGGGAUUACAUUCUAGAACUUGUCUUGUGACCAUGUCAAAGAGAAAAUUGAUUUGCAUCAUGUGAAAAAAUUGUUGGGGCAUUUGUAGGUAUUUCUUUUAUUGUUUUGAAAUCAUCCUUAGUUGCCCACUUUGAGCCUAUUUAAAAGAAUGAAAAGGCUGGAUUGACACUUGCCGAUCUUGCUUACCAACGUGCUAAAGCAGUUAAGGCCACCAAGAGGGCACUAGACUCUAGUAAGAUUGUGAAGAAGCCUCAAAAGAAAUCUAAUAAAUCUAAUCCUUUGCGAAAGCCUUACUCUUCCUGGCUAGAGGAAAUGCGGGAGCUAUUCCAGACUGACGUGAAAGAUAAAAAGCCGAAACAGAGAGGUUCUGGAACAUGAAAGAAGGCGAAGAAGUCAUUCAAAAGCAAGCUGUGACCAGAGCUCACAUGCUGAUGGGUUGCAGUUCCCAGGAAUUAAUAACGGCAUUAUAUAGCCAUAAAGUUUGACAUUAUUGCAGUUUUGUUUAUUACUCAAACAUGUCCGUUCAAUUUUUUGUGGCUCUAAAUGCUCUAUAUUCACCAUUCCAGGUAUUCAAUAUAUGCUAUUAUGCUUCAAAGUGAUGGUACUACUGGAGUUGUUGUGUGGCUGGAUCUCUUACAUCUUGGAGGUUUUGUAUGACAAACUACUCACAAUGAUGACUGAAAAUCUACAUAUUGCAAAGACUUUUGUAGUGGCUUUAACCAUAUGUUGCUUUAUUUGAUGUGGCAGCUUGACAAUAAAUAUAUCGUUGCUUUCUGGAACACAACACAUUGAACAAUUCUUCAGUCAAUUUGUUACAACACAUGGCUCUACAAAGAAUUUGCCUAGAUCAUGUACUUCAAGGCUCAGUCCAAGGCUGUGAUUUUUCCCUCAAUAUGUUGUAUCACAAAUCACCACACCAAUCUUCUUUGUAAAUGCGACAUAUGACUCAUGGCAGUGGUUGACGUAGAGAGCUGCAACUGGAAUUAAACGCAUUAAUUUUGACAGUCUCUAGUGGCAAGCUUUUGAUACAAAGGUCUAGGGUGUGUUAAUUCAAGGUGUUGAUAAGCCUUGGAACAUUCAAACUUCCAAAAGCAUACAACGGAGUUUGGAACAGAUCAAGAAAUGACCUUUUUGUACGCCUAAGAAUCUGCAACUUUGUAACAAUUAAUACAAGAGCAUGCAAAGAAGCAUCUCAGGCUCGUGUUGAUUAUAUAUAUCAAAUCCUCAAGGGUACUGACAAUCUAGCAUAGCUGCAAGCUAGAUAUAAACAACUGCUCUUCUAAUCAAGUUGAUCUAAUCCAAGGCUUUAGAACACAAUUUCUAAGAGCAGUGACUGUAGCUUCAAUUUCACGAGUAGAUUCUAAUUUAUGAAUGAUUUUGUGUAGUUUAUUUAUCACAAUGAUUUUGACUUUGUUCUUGCCCUUGCCACCACAUCGCCUUCAUUGCCUGAACUAACUUGAUGAUUCCCUGAUGAUUCCCUUUCAUAAGGUAUUCGACAAGAUCGACAUGAUUCGUUUCGUGUGACCGACUUAGAUGAUUCCCUCUCAUAAUAUGUAGGCAUCUUCUUCCAACUUCUUGGGUUUUUUUGGAUUCUAUUUUCUUUUCAAUUGUUUUCAAUGUUUCUCAUAUGGGUUUUCGAUUUCAACUCGUAGCUAUUCUUCUUUCAAUUCUAAUUUCUUUCCUUUUAUUAUUAGGAUUUAUUGUUUUAGGUUAAUCUUUUGGUUGUUUAUUAUAUAGUGAGAAAUUAGUAGCUUCAGUUUCACGAGUGGAUUCUAAUUUAUUGAUGAUUUUAUGCUGUUUAUUUAACACAAUGAUUUUGUCUUUGUUGUUGUUGGUGAUUUCUUUUGAAUGAUGAGAACUGGUUUU